GUGCCAGCAGCCGCGGUAAUUCCAGCUCCAAUAGCGUAUAUUAAAGUUGUUGUGGUUAAAAAGCUCGUAGUUGAACCUUGGGCCUGGCUGGCCGGUCCGCCUCACCGCGUGCACUGGUCCGGCCGGGCCUUUCCCUCUGUGGAACCCCAUACCCUUCACUGGGCGUGGCGGGGAAACAGGACAUUUACUUUGAAAAAAUUAGAGUGCUCCAGGCAGGCCUAUGCUCGAAUACAUUAGCAUGGAAUAAUAAAAUAGGACGCGCGGUUCUAUUUUGUUGGUUUAUAGGACCGCCGUAAUGAUUAAUAGGGACAGUCGGGGGCAUCAGUAUUCAACUGUCAGAGGUGAAAUUCUUGGAUCAGUUGAAGACUAACUACUGCGAAAGCAUUUGCCAAGGAUGUUUUCAUUAAUCAGGAACGAAAGUUAGGGGAUCGAAGACGAUCAGAUACCGUCGUAGUCUUAACCAUAAACUAUGCCGACUAGGGAUCGGACGGUGUUAUUCAUGACCCGUUCGGCACCUUACGAGAAAUCAAAGUGCUUGGGCUCCAGGGGGAGUAUGGUCGCAAGGCUGAAACUUAAAGAAAUUGACGGAAGGGCACCACCAGGGGUGGAGCCUGCGGCUUAAUUUGACUCAACACGGGGAAACUCACCAGGUCCAGACACAAUAAGGAUUGACUGAUUGAGAGCUCUUUCUUGAUUUUGUGGUGGUGGUGCAUGGCCGUUCUUAGUUGGUGGGGUGACUUGUCUGCUUAAUUGCGAUAACGAACGAGACCUUAACCUGCUAAAUAGCCCGCAUUGCUCCGGCAGUGCGCUGGCUUCUUAGAGGGACUUU
rnacentral:rRNA from 1 species